GUGAAGUCGACAGCACGGCUAACAUCGUCUUCGCUUGUAACAUUACAGUGGAAGAAACAGGCGUAGAGAUCACCACCUAGAGACUCACAGAGAAGAUGACCGAGCUUGUCCUGCACAUCAACAAUGCAAACUCUGGCACCAUGCUGUCGGAAGAGUCGUGCAAUGCUUUCGCCAAUUCCAGAAGCUCCACCGGUGAUUAGCGCGACCUUCCCUUCCAACCUAGCCAUGAUGCAGUGGGGAGGAAUCUCGCCGCCGCCGCCG
rnacentral:misc_RNA from 1 species